rnacentral:rRNA from 1 species
GAUGAACGCUGGCGGCGUGCCUAAUACAUGCAAGUCGAGCGAACAGACGAGGAGCUUGCUCCUCUGACGUUAGCGGCGGACGGGUGAGUAACACGUGGAUAACCUACCUAUAAGACUGGGAUAACUUCGUGAAACCGGAGCUAAUACCGGAUAAUAUCUUUAACCGCAUGGUUCAAUAGUGAAAGACGGUUUUGCUGUCACUUAUAGAUGGAUCCGCGCCGCAUUAGCUAGUUGGUAAGGUAACGGCUUUCCAAGGCAACGAUGCGUAGCCGACCUGAAAGGGAGUGCGGGCGCACAAUAAGAAAGAUACGCCCCACACUCCGACGGGAGGGAGCAGUAGAGAAUGUUACGCAAUGCGCGAAAGCUUGGCGGAGCAACACCGCGGGAGUGAUGAAUGACUAGGAGUGGUAAAAUUCGGUUAGUAGGGAAGAAAAAGUGUGGAAUUGACUAGGCACGUAUUGACUGUACCGAAUCAGAAAUCCACGGCUAACUUCGUG